GCCGCCGUAGCAUAGUCUGGUUUUAUGCAGCGGUUUCGUAAACCGCAGAUCGUGGGUUCAAAUCCCACCGGCGGCU
rnacentral:tRNA from 1 species